CUCACACUCAAUCUCCAUCCUCUGCACCUAGCCCUAGCUCCUGGCCGUUCCCUUACCUCCGUCCAGCCACCGCCGUCGUUCCUUCCUUCCAACAGCCACCGUCUGCUCGCUCACCUUCCCUCCAUCACGCAGCAGCCAUCGAUAUCAACCUUCCAUUCCAUCGCGCAGAAAUCGCAACCUUCCUCCGUCGCGCAGCCACGCCACCGGCGGCACUAUCUCUAUUCUCCGCAACCACUGUCCCAGUUCGAAGCCCGUUCGAAGGUACUCCACCACUGUCUUGGUCACUCGGUGUCUCUAUCUCCCAUCGCGCAGCCAUCGCAACCUUCCUCCGUCGCGCAGCCACGCCGCCGCCGGCACUAUCUCUGUUCUCCGCAAUCACUGUUCCAGUCGAAGCCCGUUCGAAGGUACUCCACCACUGUCUUGGUCACUCGGUGUCUCUAUCUCCCUUUUGCAUGCUCUGUUGAAGGCUUCUUCUAGCUUCUAGGUUUGGGUAAAGUGGGGAGAGAGACGCCAGUUCAUUGCCCAGAACAAGCUAGGGAUGACUUCCUGUCACAAGGUAGUUGGUGAUAUCAGUGCACUUAGGAGGUUGUAUUAUAAUAUGUACAAAUUUUCUUAUUUCACAAAAAUAGUUUUGCACUUGGUUGACUCGGUUAAGUAACAAUAGAAGAAGGAAGUAUGUAAUGCAUGAAUCAUAAUAAAAUACUGGCCUAAUUAAGCAACAAGAUCCAUUAGUUUACCUUAGGUUUCUUGAAAUUUAUUACCAUGUUAAUUUUCUGGGGUAAAAAGUAAGUGAAAGAUUAUUGUGCGAUUUUAUGUUCAUCUGUCCUGUGUUAGUGGUUUUUUUCCUUGGUACUGUUCACUAAUUUAGACAAGUGCCUUUCUCUAAUAUGCCCUCAU